rnacentral:rRNA from 1 species
AUUGAACGCUGGCGGCAGGCCUAACACAUGCAAGUCGAGCGAGCGGCGGACGGGUGAGUAAUGUCUGGGAAACUGCCUGAUGGAGGGGGAUAACUACUGGAAACGGUAGCUAAUACCGCAUACCAUCAGAUGUGCCCAGAUGGGAUUAGCUAGUAGGUGGGGUAACGGCUCACCUAGGCGACGAUCCCUAGCUGGUCUGAGAGGAUGACCAGCCACACGAGAACUGAGACACGGUCCAGACUGCUACGGGAGGCAGCAUUGGGGAAUAGUGCACAAUGGGCGCAAGCCUGGUGCAGCCAUGCCGCGUGUGUGAAGAAGGCCUUCGGGUUGUAAAGCACUUUCAGCGGGUAGGCGUUACCCGCAGAAGAAGCGCCGGCUAACUCCGUGCCAGCAGCGGCGGUAAUUC